CAUUCAGGCUUCUCUACACGUCCCUAUGUAGCCUCACAGGUCCUUGACGAUGAGAUGAAAUACAUUUUUAACAAAAUAGAAAAAAAAAAAAAAAAACAGACACAGCACAUUAAAAAUAACAGUAUUUGGCAUUGGGAAAAAACAAAAAACAGAGGAUACGUCUACAAAUAUAGCCCCUUAAACAUUGCAUGGUCAUAUUUGAUAGCCAUGGGAUACUCCAAAAACAGACAUGACAUGCAGACAAAAAUACAGAAAAACACAUUCAACAAGCUAGCUCCGGAAACAACGAUUGCAUAUGGUCUCUCAAUUUUCCCAAAUGUGUGUCAGGACUGACAGAUGUACCCAUUUCCCUUGGAUUCACUUAGGUAGUACAACACUGAACAAUCAAAAAGCAUGCCUCGUUAAGCCUGCUUUUAAUCCGAUCUGCAUUAAAAAAAUACCAUGUUACUGAUUGUGAUUGUCUCUAAGCGAUGCUAAGCGUUUCACAGCAACAAAAUAAACGUAAUCUCCUUUUUCAAGAGUCUAAACACAAAGCAGACGUGAUGUUUGAGAAAUUACAUUUCCUCUAAUAGAUUUAAAACAAAUGUAUUGUCACUCCAAAUUGAGAUAUAUCCAUCCUUGAAAGCAUUGAGAAGUAACUGUUCUUAACCCGUCACUACAAUGGGUUUCUUUAAAACACUGAGCAAUCUACAGCUUCCCCUCCAAAAUAAGAGUUUUCUUGAAUAUCUUUCGAAUACAGUGCAGACAGGACAAUUAAAUCAAACAAACCUACAGGAGCUUUACAAUGAGCCUCUUAAAAUAAAAUUAAAAAAAAAGUAUUGAGUUUAAAAAAAAAAAAA